UCUACUAUGGUACAGUGGCAAUACACCCGCUUCCGUGCAAAAACACGGAAGCGGAGCUGAGGGUUCGAUUCCCUCAGGUAGCA